UGGAAACAGUGGGGCCUCUUUU
rnacentral:miRNA from 1 species